ACAAAGAAGAGUUUGAUCCUGGCUCAGGAUGAACGCUAGCGGCAGGCUUAACACAUGCAAGUCGAGGGGCAGCGGGGAGUAGCAA
rnacentral:rRNA from 1 species